AAAGCAAAUGUGGUAAUUGACCACACAUCCGUAUCGUUUGGAAGUAUUGAUUUCAUUCUCUUUUUCUACCUUGUUUUUCAUUCUUCAUCUCGGUAUUCUUCGGA
rnacentral:ribozyme from 11 species